AAAUAUUGCUUAUUAGCACACAACCCCAAAUCUUAACAUGCUUGAGAUUUGUCUUUCUUUCCAGCUACAUCUUAUGGAGUUAUGAAAAUUUUGGAAGAUCUUCUAAUUUACAAUCAUAUUGUUUUAGAAGUAUAUAUAUCCUAUAUAUGGGUAAUAGAUAACAACUAACGAACUAAAUCUUAUUCGAGUUCGUUCUUCUCCUAAUGGAGAAAUACAUUAUCUUAUGAUGCUACUUUCCUUGAAUGUCUUUCAUGGAAACUCAUCUAAAGUGUUACUUUUCCUUGGAUCAAAUCUAAGGAGGUAAAUACUUUAGACGUCUUACUCAUUAACUUACAUUUCUUGAAUAAACAAUAGUCCAACCGAGAGAGAUCUUUGGUGAAUGUCAUAUAACAUGAGUAGUAUUAUGUUGUGGACAAGUGCCACUAACAUCUAAGUGAAUUAACCUCAACAACUUUGUGAUUCUUUCUUCUUUCCAAAAGAAUACAGAUUCGAACAUUUCGCCUCUAUACAAUUUUAACAAGAAGGUAUUGGAUCCGGAUCUAACGAUCCAAAGCGUCCAUCUAUGACCAACUCGUAAUUUAUGUUUUAGAGGUAUCACAACUUUAGUUGGGAUUAGUCACUACCUUGCAACCUUUUGGGUUUUAAGCAUCAUUAUAUUCUAAACAGUUAACACCACCAUAUUAUCUCUACUAUAGAGACAAUCAAUUAGAUUACCAUAAUCCAAUCAUUGAUUAAUAAAGAACAUUGUUUUGUCAAACAAAACAUU
rnacentral:lncRNA from 1 species